GCGGCCGUGGCGGAACGGCAGACGCGCUAGGUUGAGGGCCUAGUGGGAGAAAUCCCGUGGAGGUUCAAAUCCUCUUGGCCGCACCA
rnacentral:tRNA from 1 species